GUGUCAGCAGCCGCGGUAAGACGAACCGUCCAAACGUUAUUCGGAAUUACUGGGCUUAAAGGGUGCGUAGGCGGCCUGACAAGUUGGGUGUGAAAUACCUCGGCUCAACCGAGGAACAGCGCUCAAAACUGUCAGGCUUGAGGGAGAUAGAGGUGAGCGGAACUUAAGGUGGAGCGGUGAAAUGCGUUGAUAUCUUAAGGAACACCCGUGGCGAAAGCGGCUCACUGGAUCUCUUCUGACGCUCAUGCACGAAAGCUAGGGGAGCAAACGGGAUUAGAUACCCCCGUAGUCC
rnacentral:rRNA from 1 species